CCUACGGGUGGCAGCAGUGGGGAAUAUUGCACAAUGGGGGAAACCCUGAUGCAGCGACGCCGCGUGAGUGAAGAAGGAUUUCGGGAUGUAAAGCUCGAUCAGCAGGGAAGAAAAUGACGGUACCUGAGUAAGAAGCCCCGGCUAACGACGUGCCAGCAGCCGCGGUAAUACGGAGGGGGCAAGCGUUAACCGGAUUUACUGGGUGUAAAGGGAGCGGAGACGGCAGCACACGUCUGGAGGGAAAUGCCGGGGCUUAACCCCGGAACUGCUUUGGAAACGGUGCAGCUAGAGUGCAGGAGUGGUAAGUGGACUUCCUAGUGUUGCGGUGACAUGCGUAGAUAUUAGGAGGAACACCAGUGGCGAAGGCGGCUUACUGGACUGUAACUGACGUUGAGGCUCGAAAGCGUGGGGAGCAAACAGGAUUAGAUACCCCUGUAGUC
rnacentral:rRNA from 1 species